rnacentral:rRNA from 1 species
GGGGAAUAACCUCGCGAAAGCGAGGCUAGUUCCGCAUAAGAUCCGCAAGGAUGAAAGCCGCAAGGCGCCGAACGAGGGGCCCGCGCACGAUUAGUUACUUGGUAGGGUAACGGCCUACCAACACUAUGAUCGUUAGCUGGUCUGAGAGGAUGGCCAGCCACACUGGAACUGAGACACGGUCCA